rnacentral:lncRNA from 1 species
UUUUUUUUUUUUUUUUUUUGCAGUCCUGGGGUUUGAACUCGGGGCCUUGAGCCACCCCACCAGCCCUUUUUUUGUGAUGUUUUUUUCUACAUAGGGUCUCGAGAACUAUUUGCCUGGGCUGGCUUUGAACUUCGAUCCUCUUGGUCUCCACCUCUUGAGUGGCUGGGAUUACAGCAGUGCACCACCACACUCAGGUCCUAUGUUUGACUUUUUUUUUUUUGCAGUACUGGGGCUUGAACUCAGGGCCUACACCUUGAGCCACUCCACCAGCCCUUUUUUUGUGAUGGGUUUUUUCGAGAUAGGGUCUUGAGAACUAUGUACCUGGGCUGGCUUUGAACUGCGAUCCUCCUGAUCUCUUCCUCCUGAGUGGCUGGGAUUACAGGCAUGAGUCACUGGCAUCUCACUGGUGCCCAGAUCAGCUUUUGCUUUUUUUGACACAGGGUCUCCUAUGUAGCCCAGGCUGGCCUUGAACCCAAGCUCCUUCUGCCUCAGUCUCCCCUGUGCUGGGAUUAUACUCAUACACCAUUACACCUAUCUUAGAGUCACAUUUUUACUUAUUCAUUUAUUUGUUUAAUGAAUUAAUAAAUUAACUGGUGGGGCUGGGAUUUGAACUCAGGGCCUUACACUUGCCAGGCAGGCACUCUACAUUUGAGCCUUACAGGUCCCAUUUUUAAAACUGCAGUUUCCACCUUCUUCUUUCCCGGACCCGACUGCCUCUGUCACCUUGUUCCAUGCUGAGCAGCUGCCACAAGCCACCCACCCCUGGUCGUGGUGCAAUCUAACCCCACCCCUGGAAUCUCGCCUGCAGGUCACGGGUCUGUGUGUUCAGCAAAUGUUUACAGUCCUUUUCUGGGAAUUUAAUUCCCAGUCACGCUCACAGGGUAGAUCACUGGCAGACUGUGACCAGGUGUGGCCUACCCAGAGGACAGGCAUGGCUUCUGUUCUUGGGCUGGGGGUGUGAACGACCAGAGGGAGUCACCCAGUGUUCAGCCUGCUUCCUGGACCUCAUCCCUGCUCAGGAAAUGAUGAAGGGAGCCUGUGCUGAAACCGCUUUCAAACAAUGUAAAGCUUGCUUCUCGGGGCUGGACCCAUGAUUCAAGUGGCACAGCACAUGCC